CGGCCGCGGNACUCUGACCGUGCAAAGGUAGCAUAAUCAUUUGCCUUAUAAUUGAAGGCUGGAAUGAAUGGUUUGACAAGAAUACCCCUGUCUCUUUUAGAUUAUUUAGAACUUUAUUUUUGGAUGAAAAAGUCCAGAUAUAAUUAAUAGACAAGAAGACCCUAUCGAGCUUUAGAGAAGUUAGUAAACUUAAUACGAGUCGAUAUAAGUAAAAGAAAGGUUGCUAAACACUUUGGUUGGGGCAACCGAGGAGCAGACAAAGCCUCCUUUGAUCNUACAAAUCUUACCCGUGUUGAUCCAAUAAUUUUGAUCAAAGGAAUUAGUUACCGUAGGGAUAACAGCAUAAUCUUUUUCAAGAGCCCAUAUCGAAAAAAAGGUUUGUGACCUCGAUGUUGGACCAGAAUAUCCUNNNNAUGCAGAAGUCUUCAA
rnacentral:rRNA from 1 species